rnacentral:tRNA from 1 species
ACUUAUUUAGUAUAUAAAAGUAUAUAAAGCUUCCAACUUUAAGGUUUAAUUUAAAAUAAGUA